AAUAAGCAAAAUGAAAAGAACAAAAAGAGUUGUCCAACUUUCUCUUCGUUUUUUUCCCCCAAUUCCAAAAGAAAAACCCUUAUGCGGCAAAAUUCUCAAAUCCACAUCCAGAAAUCUUCCAUCUUCGAAGAGAAUUUGCUCUCCAAUCCAAACGUCCGCGAUUUGGCGCUACCGCCGAUGAGAAGCUGUGAUUUUGCAUUGUCGAUUUUCACUUUAAAUGGUUUAUCUCCUUUGUGAAAGAUCUCUGUCGCAAUGUCGACGAUUUUGGCGUUCUGAACUUGCUCCCCCGCUCAGCUCGCCACUUCCUCAACCAUGGGUUUGAUUUGCUAGACAAGUGUGGAGCUAGCAGGAGCGUAUUUUUCUACAACCUAAUCAGAAUUCUAUAUUCUACAAUUCUCAUGCGAGCUGGAUUAUGAGUUACCAACAAGAGAAGAUUGUCAGGUAUAGAUGACUGGCAAGAGUUGGAAUGUCCUUAUUGUGGAGUGGUUGCAAUAAUACACAUCACUUUUAAAUAUGUUAUUAUUGUUAUGGAAAUAUGACUAGUCUUUAUUAGCAGCGCAACCUUUUUGGUAAUGGAAGAUUAUGUGCACUUAAUAUAUCUAUGCAUAAAUCUGAUAAAAUUUCUAAUCUCAUGUUGCUUCAUUUAUAAUAUUGCGUAUCUAUGCCAGUGACAUUGAAUCGGAAUGGAUAGCGGAGGAUGAGCUUGGUGUAUACAUCACCAUCAGACAGCUUCUUGAUGGCACUAGAGAGCUUCGGCAUGUCAAAUUCAGCCGUGAAAAAUUUGGAGAGGUGCAUGCCAAGCAUUGGUGGGAAACUAACAGGGACAGGAUACAAACUCAGUGUCUUUGCUAUAUUACGGAUCAUUUUAAAUCAUAUCUCCUAACCAUGAUUAUCUGUAGUUUAUUAUUUAUAUGUUUAAAGAUGGUUUACUUUGGUGAAUACACAAUGAGUAAUGUAGUCAGACCUACUUCAUGCCUUAGAUAAUGAUUUUAGAGAAUGUAUAUGUAUCAUGACUGAUAUUAUUUUAAUUUUUGUGCAGCACACUCGGUCAGGGGGCAGUAAGCAUCUCAGGGAAGUCUUGUUUUCUAUAGCAGUAGCCAUUUUGGGACUCCGCUUAUUUGCUCUGCUCAUUGGUAAUAUGCAAGGUUCCUCUUGUUGAUAAGUUUUAGGUUCUUCUUGGUUUCUUUGGGUACUCAGCGGUGCUAUAUAUGCAUUUUGUAACAUCCAUCAUUCAAGAAAUAACAACAGCUCUGGGAAUUUACUGCUUCAGGAUAACUAGAAAAGAAGCUUAAGCUGUGACUGCUGCACGAUUUUCGUUGUGCCUGCUUGUAUCUUGAGGUAUCAACAAAUCAUUUUGGGACUCUCUCCUAUUUGCUUCCAAUUUGAAGGUGAAAGCUAAUGACUAUUUGGAUUGAUGAGAAGCUGAAUAGCUUUAAAAGUGGAGCCUAGAGGUUCCAUUCUAAGACAGUUGGUACCACAGAGAAACCUAUUUUAAAAUAGUUGAUAUAAUAUACACCAUGUAAUAAAUUUUUUACUCAUGGUUGAGUUCCUUCACCAGAAUAUUCCUCGGUGAUAUUUGAAAUUUCAGAUUUGAAAUAAAGCAUUGUUAUAUUGGGAUUGAUCUCA